GGCCUACCAUGGUUUUAACGGGUAACGGGGAAUUAGGGUUCGAUUCCGGAGAGGGAGCCUGAGAAACGGCUACCACAUCCAAGGAAGGCAGCAGGCGCGCAAAUUACCCAAUCCCGAUACGGGGAGGUAGUGACAAUAAAUAACAAUACAGGGCUUUAUAGUCUUGUAAUUGGAAUGAGUACAAUUUAAAUCUCUUAACGAGGAACAAUUGGAGGGCAAGUCUGGUGCCAGCAGCCGCGGUAAUUCCAGCUCCAAUAGCGUAUAUUAAAGUUGUUGCAGUUAAAAAGCUCGUAGUUGAACUUCGGGAUCAAUGAGUUGGUCGUGCCAUUGGUAUGAACUGGCUUUAUUGGUUCUCACCUUCUAAUGAACCUUAAUGUCAUUCAUUUGAUGUUUUGGGGAAUUAGGACUGUUACCUUGAAAAAAUUAGAGUGUUUAAAGCAGGCUAACGUCUGAAUACAUUAGCAUGGAAUAAUAGAAUAGGACGGUUUGGUUCUAUUUUGUUGGUUUCUAGGAUCACCGUAAUGAUUAAUAGGGAUAGUUGGGGGCAUUAGUAUUCAAUUGUCAGAGGUGAAAUUCUUGGAUUUAUUGAAGACUAACUACUGCGAAAGCAUUUGCCAAGGAUGUUUUCAUUAAUCAAGAACGAAAGUUAGGGGAUCGAAGACGAUCAGAUACCGUCGUAGUCUUAACCAUAAACUAUGCCGACUAGGGAUCGGAUGAAGUUAAUUUUUAAAUGACUCGUUCGGCACCUUACG
rnacentral:rRNA from 1 species